rnacentral:tRNA from 1 species
CCGACAAGUCGAUAGCUCAGUUGGCAGAGCGGUGGGCUGUAGAUCCAUAGGUCGCUGGUUCGGUCGGCUCGACGGA